CGGACGGGUGAGUAACGCGUGAGUAACCUGCCUUCAANAGGGGGAUAACAUUCUGAAAAGAAUGCUAAUACCGCAUGACAUAUCGGAACCACAUGGUUUUGAUAUCAAAGAUUUUAUCGCUUGAAGAUGGACUCGCGUCCGAUUAGUUAGUUGGUGAGGUAACGGCUCACCAAGACCGCGAUCGGUAGCCGGACUGAGAGGUUGAACGGCCACAUUGGGACUGAGACACGGCCCAGACUCCUACGGGAGGCAGCAUG
rnacentral:rRNA from 1 species